rnacentral:lncRNA from 1 species
UUUAGCCUCACUUUGCCCUGCGUCCGGUGGAAACCAUGCCCGUGACGGCCUCUGCUUUAAGCUCCGUGAGGGAAGAAGGGGAUUGAUUGUAGAGGACCUAUGAAAAGCUGGAGAUGGCGGCAUGCAUCUGGAAUCCCUGCACUCUGUUCAUGGGCCGAGAAGUAUAGAAAGGAAAAUGCCCCAGGAAGCUUUACAUGAGAAUGUAACACAGCGGCAGAAAUCACAAGAUACUUUGCCUCAAAUGAGAUAAAAGAUGAGAACUAACUC